rnacentral:rRNA from 1 species
UACGUAGGGUGCGAGCGUUAAUCGGAAUUACUGGGCGUAAAGAGUGCGUAGGCGGUUCGUUAAGUCAGCUGUGAAAGCCCCGGGCUCAACCUGGGAACUGCGGUUGAAACUGGCGAACUAGAAUCUGGCAGAGGGGGGGUGGAAUUCCACGUGUAGCAGUGAAAUGCGUAGAGAUGUGGAGGAACACCGAUGGCGAAGGCAGCCCCCUGGGCUGAGAUUGACGCUCAGGCACGAAAGCGUGGGGAGCAAACAGG